rnacentral:rRNA from 1 species
UACGUAGGCAGCAAGCGUUGUUCGGAGUUACUGGGCGUAAAGGGUGUGUAGGCGGUUCUUUAAGUUUGGUGUGAAAUCUCCCGGCUCAACUGGGAGGGUGCGCCGAAUACUGAGGGACUAGAGUACGGGAGAGGAAAGUGGAAUUCCAGGUGUAGCGGUGAAAUGCGUAGAUAUCUGGAGGAACACCGGUGGCGAAGGCGGCAUCCUGGACCGGUAUUGACGCUGAGGCGCGAAAGCCAGGGGAGCAAACGGG